GACGAGCGCUGGCGGCGUGCUUAACACAUGCAAGUCGAGCGGUAAGGCCCUUUCGGGGGUACACGAGCGGCGGACGGGUGAGUAACACGUGGGUGACCUGCCCUUAGCUCUGGGAUAAGCCUGGGAAACUGGGUCUAAUACCGGAUAUGACUCCAUGACGCAUGUUGUGGGGUGGAAAGCCUUGUGCGGCUAGGGAUGGGCCUGCGGCCUAUCAGCUUGUUGGUGGGGUGANGGCCUACCAAGGCGACGACGGGUAGCCGGCCUGAGAGGGCGACCGGCCACACUGGGACUGAGACACGGCCCAGACUCCUACGGGAGGCAGCAGUGGGGAAUCUUGCGCAAUGGGCGAAAGCCUGACGCAGCGACGCCGCGUGGGGAGUGACGGCCU
rnacentral:rRNA from 1 species